GAUGAACGCUGGCGGCGUGCCUAAUACAUGCAAGUCGAGCGAACAGACGAGGAGCUUGCUCCUCUGGCGUUAGCGGCGGACGGGUGAGUAACACGUGGAUAACCUGCCUAGAAGCCGGGGAUAACUUCUGGAAACCGUAGCUAAUACCGCAUAAUAUAUUGAACCGCAUGGUUCAAUAGUGAAAGACGGUUUUGCUGUCACUUAUAGAGGGAUCCCCGCCGCAUUAGCUAUUUGGUAAGUUACCGGCUUACCAAGGCAACGAUGCGUAGCUGACCUGAGAGGGUGAUCGGCAACACUGGACCUGAGAAACGGCCCAGACUCCUCCGGGAGGCACCAGAAGGGAAUCUUCGGAAAGGGGGGAAAGCCUGCCGGAGCAAGGCCGCGUGAGUGAUGAAGGUCUUCGGAUCGUAAACCUCUGUUAUUAGGGAAGAACAAAUGUGUAAGUAAAUAUGCACGUCUUGACGGUACCUAAUCAGAAAGCCACGGCUAACUACGUG
rnacentral:rRNA from 1 species